CCCGGCUCGGAAACCCCGAGUUUCACGAUAGCAGGAGGGGCGGAGCGCGCCGGGGGGGAAUUCUACAGGCCACACAAAGGCCGACGCUCCCUUUUCUGGUUCGGUCAGGUUUGAGAAAUGCCUCCCUGUCCCUUGCGCGGGAGCCUUCCGCCCAGGUGAAGGUGGGCCUUGUUGCCUUGGCGACAGCGAGUGGGGCUGAGCGGCUGCUCCGACAGCCAAUAGCAGCCUGGAGGGGCGGGGCCAGCUGGGGCCUGCGCGUCAGCGGCGGGGCUCGCAGGUGUCCGGUCUGGCCGGCCGCCCAGCCCGAUAAGCAUGCAGCUGCUGUGUUUGGUGGCCGUGGUCGGCUGUUUGCUGGUGCCCCCGGCUCAAGGCAACAAGAGUUCUGAAGAUAUCCGGUGCAAAUGCAUCUGUCCGCCGUACAGGAACAUCAGUGGACACAUUUACAACCAGAAUGUGUCGCAGAAGGACUGGAUGCUCGCUCUAUGGCGGCUGCCGCGGCCUCCUUCGGGGGACCCCGCGCCAACACGGUCCUGGAACGUGUGGAAGGCGCUCAGCAGCGGUGGAAGCUGCAGGUGCAGGAGCAACGGAAGACGGUCUUCGAUCGGCACAAGAUGCUCAGCUAGAGGGCCCGGCACAGUCGGGCCAAGGACCAGCGGCCACGGCUGGAUAGAGCCAGGGGCCACUCUCCCCUCCUUCGACGCCACCCUUCCUGGGUCUUCCCUUUAAAAGCCUGUGGCGUUUUUUCCUCCUUCUGCCCCUCUUUAGAAACGUUGUUCUCAGCUGAGUUAAUUCCGGAAGCGUGAUGGGGUCCCCGAUCUCUCGUUCGCCUGCUCAGGUCUUGGGGGUUUGUGGGGGGAAGGCAGGCCAAGAGGGGAUGGAGGCGUCCGUCUCAGGCGGCCUCAGGGUUGGAAGGAGCCUCUCUCUCAUUGCUCCACCCUUGCCACCUCUCCGGCUCCAAAUCCCGGGAAGGUUCCAGCCUCUGGAAGGUGGAGCUGGGUCGUCAGGACCUCGGUGUGUGGGAGGAAAGCCUGGCCCCUGCCACCUGUGCUGCUUUCUGCUGUGGUUGUGGUGGCUGCCUUCCUCGCCACCCCGAGACGUCAGCCCCCGAGCACCCAUCCCCUCUUCCUCCUCCCUCCUCUCCUCCCCUGACGCAUGGUGGUGGCCGUGCACCCUGCCUCCUCUCGGCCCGGCCCUCCCGCCCACUCAGGAGGCCAGGCAGGCCCCUUGCCUCCCUGUGUGUGUUGUCACUGAGCCAGACGGGUGGUGGGACCACGCGGCACAAGGCCGGGCGGUGGCUCUGAAUGCCACAGCCUUGGGGCACCACGCAUCCCUGAAUUUCCUUGUAGCGUGCAUGGGCAGACAUGUUUGUCUACCGUUGUCUGUAAGUCAAGGAAGCCAUCAUUAAAUUGUCUUAUUUCUCACUUUCUGGAUUUCAAGAGACUUAGAGAACUGAGUGUCCCACGUGUGGCCUGGUGAGUCCUGUGUCCCAGAGAGGGGACGGAGCGUCAUCUUGGCGGGUCCAGAAGAGAGGCAGACGUGGCAGUCCUGGUGGCCAGGGCAGAGCCCACGGGGAGUCC
rnacentral:lncRNA from 1 species